UGUGUGAUCACUGGUGUACCUGCUGGUCUCCUGUCUCUGUCUCUCCUCUGUCUAAAGAACAUGAACAGCAGCAGACCCAGCAGUAGUAGAACAACACCCAGAACAACACCAGAGAACAUCACAUCACCUAGAACACCUAGAACAACACCAGAGAACAUCACCUCACCUAGAACACCCAGAACAUCACAUCACCUAGAACACCUAGAACAACACCAGAGAACAUCACAUCACCUAGAACACCCAGAACAACACCAGAGAACAUCACAUCACAUAGAACACCCAGAACAACACCAGAGAACAUCACAUUACCUAGAACACCCAGAACAACACCAGAGAACAUCACAUCACCUAGAACACCUAGAACAACACCAGAGAACAUCACAUCACCUAGAACACCCAGACCAACACCAGAGAACAUCACAUCACCUAGAACACCCAGACCAACACCAGAGAACAUCACAUCACCUAGAACACCCAGACCAACACCAGAGAACAUCACAUCACCUAGAACACCCAGAACAACACCAGAGAACAUCACAUCACCUAGAACACCUAGAACACAAGAGAACAUCAGAUCCCCUAGAACACCCAGAACAACACCAGAGAACAUCACAUCACCUAGAACACCCAGAACAACACCAGAGAACAUCACAUCACCUAGAACACCCAGAACAACACCAGAUAACAUCACAUAGAACACCCAGAACAACACCAGAGAACAUCACAUCACCUAGAACACCCAGACCAACACCAGAGAACAUCACAUCACCUAGAACACCCAGACCAACACCAGAGAACAUCACAUCACAUAGAACACCCAGACCAACACCAGAGAACAUCACAUCACCUAGAACACCCAGAACAACACCAGAGAACAUCACAUCACCUACAAAACCAAGACCAACACCAGAGAACAUCACAUCACCUAGAACACCCAGAGUCAGAACACAGGCAUAAUGUUACAGUGAUGCUACAUUUAGCUAGUCUCUACUGUACUGUACUUCUGUGUUUCUACCAUUUCAGAGGGAGGGAGGAGGGAAGACAACAUUAGACAGAGAAACAGGUGGGUGUUGAGGAGAGCAGAAAUAAAGAUGAAAUGUUAAUGAUGAGGUAUCAAUAG
rnacentral:lncRNA from 8 species